rnacentral:lncRNA from 1 species
GGGACUGAGCCUAAAGACUUCCUGGAAAUGUCAGCUGGUUAGUCAACCCGAGGCAGUAAUCUUCAAGUCCCCUGCUCCGGCUCUGAACGCACUUCCUCCCUCCGCUCCACCCUCUCAACUCUGCUAACCACCUCCCCAGCCCCAUCUUUGUGGGAACCAACGCCUGGUGUGUUUGUUAGUCAUCUGUCUGUGAGGCAGCUUGUCUGUGACUCAGA